rnacentral:lncRNA from 1 species
GUCAAAACUUUAAUUUGGAAUUAAAAUUAGAAAGAUCAUAUCAUAGGGAACAUGUGUACUAAGUUUCAAGUUGAUGUAACUUUUACUUCAUCAAAAACUACCUUGACCAAAAACUUUAACCUGAACUUCGCACUAUCAUUUUCUAUGUUCAGUGGACCAUGAAAUUGGGGUCAAAACUAUAAUUUGGCAUUAAAAUUAGAAGGAUCAUAUCAUGGGGAACAAGUGUACUAAGUUUCAAAUUGAUUGGACUUCAACUUCUUCAAAAACUACCUUGACCAAAAACUUUAACCUGAAGCGGACGGACG